CGCACACAGGAACACCACACGAUGUUUAGAAACGUGAAAAUUAACUUCUUUUUGCCCUUCGUAAUUAAUUCCAAGAUAAUGGCGAUCGUUCAAGAUGAAAUGUGCCGAGUACAAGAAUCUGUUAGCAUGCAAGAUUUCAUGUGGCGGUACGCAGACACUCCAUACAACUGCAUUGCCAAGUGUCAAAAUUCAAAUGCUGCAGCCACAGAUCCCACUUCACGAAACGCAGAGUACUUGGAAAGAGUGUUUUCACCGUUUCAGAAAACAAUCAACUGCAUGAAAGAAGAACGAAUAGUAACUGCAUCCUGCAAAGUCAAGAUUAAAUCCCUCGAAUUAAUCCAGCUCUCGGAUUUGCGUUUGAUUUAUUUCCCUUCAUUUGCUCAGAUGCGGAGGUUCGAAGCUGAGAAAUUUUGCUCCCGUCAUGGAUUAAAUUUUGGAAUAGAUGAGUCGCUCAUGGGAUUCGUCACAGUUGGUAACAAUUCUGAUACUCUGUGGCCACACG